GAAAAAUAGCAAAAUGAUAUAUUUAAACCCAACUAUAUCAACAGUGACAUUAAACGGAAGUGGUCUACAUAGCCAAUUACAGACAGAGAUUGUCAGGUUGCUCCAAAACAACAAAAAAACCCAACUAUAUGCUGCCUCUGAGAAAACCACUUUAAAUAUAUAAAUAGGAUUAAAGUAAAAGGAUGGAAAAAUAUGUACUAUGCUAACAGUAACCAGAAGAAAGCUAAGGAAUGUUAACAUUAUUAAUUAAUAUUGCUAUGUUAAUAUCAAAGUAUAUUUCAGAGCAAAUAUUACAAAGAAUACAAAAGGCCAUUUCAUAAUAAUAAAGGGGCUGGGGCUGGCCCUGUGGCCGAGGGGUUAAGUUCAUGCGCUCCACUUUGGCGGCCCAGGGUUUCACUGAUUCGGAUCCUGGGCGCAGACAUGGCACUGCUCAUCAGGCCAUGUUGAGGCGGCGUCCCACAUGGCUCAACUAGAAGAACCCACAACUAAAAUGUACAACUAUGUAUUAGGGGGAUUUUUGGGGAAUAAACAGAAAAAAUAAUAAAGGGACCAAUUAAAUAAGAGCAUAACUAUCAUAAGUGUUUAUACAUCUAAUAACAGGGCUUCAAAAUAAUAAAACAAAAAUUAUAGAAUUAUAAGGCAAAACAGACAAUCCUUAAUAAGAGCGUUGUUUUUUUUUUUUGAGGAAGAUUAGCCCUGAGCUAACAUCCGUGCCCAUCUUCCUCUACUUUAUAUGUGGGAUGCCUACCACAGCAUGGCUUGCCAAGUGGUGCCAUGUCCAAACCCAGGAUCCGAACCUGAGAACCCCAGGCCACCAAAGCGGAAUGUGUGCACUUAACCGCUGCACCACCAGGCCAGCCCCAAGAGAUUUCAAACAGGCCCCUCAACAAUUGACAGAACAAGUAAACAUAAAAUCAGUAAGGCUAUAAAAGGCUUGAACAACACUAUCAACGUUCGACCUUCCUGCCAUUUAUAUAGCACUCCAUCCAACCACAACAGAAUGUACAUUCUUUUCAAGGGCAUACAGAACAUUUAUGGCAUGGAGAAUAUUCUAGCGAUAAAACAAGUCUCAAUAAAUUUAAAAAGAUUCAAAUCAUACAAAGUAUGUUCUCAGACUACAGUGAAAUUAAAUAAGAAAUCAAUAACAAAGACAAAUCUGGAAAAUAUCCAAAUAUUUGGAAAUUAAUUUACGCACUAAUAAAUGGCUCAUAGGUCAAAGAAGAAAUCAGAGUACUUUGAACUGAAUGAAGUGAAAAGACACAUCAAAGUUUGUGAGAUGCAGAUAAAGCAGUUCUUAGAGGAAAAUUUAUAUGACACUAAACACUUAGAAAAGGUCACAAAUCAGUGACCUCAGCUUUGACCUUAAACUAGAAAAAGAAAAAAUUAAGUUCAAAGUAAGCAGAAGAAAGGAAAUAAUAAAGAGCACAAUGGAAAUCAAUGAAAUGGAAACAGAAAAUAAAGGAAACGAAUGGAACCAAAGUUGAAUUUUUAAGAUCAAUAAAAGUGGUAAAUCUCUAACCCAGGGGUUGCCAGGCCAUGGCUCAUAAUCCAGCUGCCUGUUUUUGUAAAUAAAGUUCUAUUGGAAGUCUCAUCCAUUCGUGUAUUGUCCAUGGCUGCAUUCACUCUGUAACAGCAUUGUUGAGUAGUUUAGCAAUAGAGACCAUAUGGCCUGCAAAGCCUUAAAUAUUUUACUCUAUUUGAACUUCAAUAGAAAAUGUUUGGGGAUCCUGCUCUAGCCAAACAGAUCAGGAAAAGAGGAAAGACACAAAUUAUCAACAUCAGGAAUGAGAGAGGUGACAUCACUACAGAUCUUACAGAUACUUUUAAAAUAAUAAGGGACUAUUAUGAACACUUUUAUGCCAAUAAAUUAAAAAACUUACAGAAAUGGGCAAACUGCUUGAAAAACAAACCACCAAAGCUCCCUCAAGAAGAAAUGGAUAACCUGUAUAACACCGUGUCUCUUAAAACUGAUAAAAGGAUCAUACUUCUUCAUGGGUGAGAUUUGGUAGUUUGUGGUUUUCAAGGAAUUGGUCUGUUUCUCCCAGGCCCUUUCAAGGGUUCACCUGAUUAGCUCAGGCCCACUCAGGAUAGUCUCCCUCGUUACUCACUCAUAGCCAAUUGACUUGAGACUUUACUUACAACUGCAGAAUCCCUUCUGCUUUGUCAUAUAACAUAACCUAAUAAUGAGAGUGAAAUCCACCAUAUUCAUAGUCCUGCCCACACUCAAAGGGGAAGGAAUUAUAGAGAGCGUGUACACCAGGAGGCAGGAAUUCUCAGGGCCAACUUAGAAUUCUGCUUACCACAAAUAAGGAAACACAAAUUUCUUCACUGCAACAUUAUUUUCAAUCAUAAGAUAUUGGAAACAACAUACAUAAGAGAAUGGGUGAAUAAACCAUAGGACAUCCACACAAUGCAGUGGUUUUUAACCGAGAUAUAAUUCACACAUAUAUAUAUACACACAAUGGACUGAUUUUGAAAAUAUGCUAUUAAGUGAGAAAAGCAAAGUUCAAGAGUAUUUAUAGUAUGCUACCUCUGGUGUAAGAAAAGGAAAUAAGAAACUACACAUGUAUUUGGUUAUUUUGGCAAAAAGAAACAAGAGGAGGGGCCAGCCAGUGGUGUAGUGGUUAACUUCAUGCACUCCACUUUGGUAGCCUGAGAUUCAUGGGUUCAGAUCCUGAGUAUAGACCUACACCCUGCUUAUCAAGCCAUGCCGUGGCAGCAUCCCACAUACAGAAUAGAGGAAGAUUGGCACACAUGUUAGCUGAGGGCCAAUCUUCCUCAUUGAAAAGAAAGAAGAAAUAAGAGGCAUGUUUUGGAAUAAAGGAUGGAGAUGUUGAGUGGGGAUGGAAGGCAUAAGGGCUAAUGACCCUUCGGAGUACACCUUUUCUUAGUUUUAACUUGGAACCAUAUUAAUAUUGUAUAUACUGCAAAAUACAACCAAGUCUAGGUGGAAAAGAAAACCCUAAGGUGGAAUAUAAACAAAAACAAAUUAACAUAAAUGUAUUUCAAAUGAAUAACCUAACCACACUGAAGGACGCGGGAAAGAAAACUAACUCAAAUUUUGAACACAUUUAUUUAUUUGUUUGCUGGGGAAGACCCCCCCUGAGCUAACAUCUGUGCCAAUCUUCCUCCACUUUAUACGUGGGACACUGUCACAGCAUGGCUGACAAGUGGUGUGUGUAGGUCCACAACCAGGAUCCAAACCCGCGAACCGGGCCACUGAAGCAGAGCGCGCCAAACUUAAUCACUAGGCCACAGGGGUGGUCCCUUGAACACAUUAUUUUGACUAUAUACCCUCAUUAUAAAGUCAAAAAGAGCUGUUAACAAAUAUUUAACUCAUUAGUAGGUUUUCUGCAGUGGUAAGGGUUAGCAAUUCUGAAACUACUUUCUCUGCAUUUUAGGAUCAAGCAAAAAAGUAAAUAUAUUGAGAAUAGUGGGAGUCAGAUUUGUCAUCGUUGAAGGCAAAGGACAGAAUAAACCCUGUAGUGAUGGACUGAAAUUGGAUGUCCUGUUAGGAACUCAUGGUGGCAUAUACAGAUAUGAAAAUACGCAUAUAACACACAUACGUAUUACAUAUAUACACAGACACACAUGUAACAUAUUUCCUAGCUCUGCUGACAGGAUCUGGAA
rnacentral:lncRNA from 1 species